CAGGGAAUAUUAGUAAUGGGCGAAAGCCUGAACUAGCAACGCCGCGUGUGCGAAGAAGGCCUUCGGGUUGUAAAGCACUUUUUGAGAGGAUGAGGAAGGACGGUACUCUCAGAAUAAGUCUCGGCUAACUACGUGCCAGCAGCCGCGGUAACACGUAGGAGGCAAACGUUAUCCGGAUUUACUGGGCGUAAAGCGCGUGUAGGUGGUUUGGUAAGUAGGGCGUGAAAGCUCCUGGCUCAACUGGGAGAGGACGUUCUAAACUGCCAAGCUUGAGGAUGGUAGAGGGAGGUGGAAUUCCGGAUGUGCGGUGGAAUGCGCAGAUAUCCGGAGGAACACCAGUGGCGAAGGCGGCCUCCUGGACCACUCCUGACACUCAGACGCGAAAGCUAGGGUAGCAAACGG
rnacentral:rRNA from 1 species